UACAGAGGGUGCAAGCGUUAAUCGGAAUUACUGGGCGUAAAGCGUGCGUAGACGGUUAUUUAAGUCAGGUGUGAAAGCCCCGGGCUCAACCUGGGAAUUGCAUUUGAGACUGAAUAGCUAGGGUGCGGAAGAGGGAAGCGGAAUUUCCGGUGUAGCGGUGAAAUGCGUAGAUAUUCGGAGGAACACCAGUGGCGAAGGCGGCUCACUGGUCCAUUACUGACGCUGAGGUGCGAAAGCGUGGGGAGCAAACAGGG
rnacentral:rRNA from 1 species